AACGAACGCUGGCGGCAGGCCUAGCACAUGCAAGUCGAACGCUCUAGCAAUAGAGAGUGGCAGACGGGUGAGUAACGCGUGGGAAACUUCCUAGGGGUACGGAAUAGCUCAGGGAAACUUGGGGUAAUACCGUAUGAUGCCGUAAGGCCAAAGAUUUAUCGCCCUUAGAUGUGCCCGCGUCGGAUUAGCUAGUUGGUGAGGUAAUGGCUCACCAAGGCGACGAUCCGUAGCUGGUUUGAGAGAAUGACCAGCCACACUGGGACUGAGACACGGCCCAGACUCCUACGGGAGGCAGCAGUGGGGAAUCUUGGACAAUGGGCACAAGCCUGAUCCAGCCAUGCCGCGUGAGUGACGAAGGCCUUAGGGUUGUAAAGCUCUUUUGCCGGGGACGAUAAUGACGGUACCCGGAGAAUAAGUCCCGGCUAACUUCGUGCCAGCAGCCGCAGUAA
rnacentral:rRNA from 1 species